UAGUAUACAUGCAAUAAUGAGAU
rnacentral:snRNA from 1 species